rnacentral:rRNA from 1 species
AACGAACGCUGGCGGCAGGCUUAACACAUGCAAGUCGAACGCCCCGCAAGGGGAGUGGCAGACGGGUGAGUAACGCGUGGGAACGUACCCUUUACUACGGAAUAACUCAGGGAAACUUGUGCUAAUACCGUAUGUGCCCUUCGGGGGAAAGAUUUAUCGGUAAAGGAUCGGCCCGCGUUGGAUUAGCUAGUUGGUGGGGUAAAGGCCUACCAAGGCGACGAUCCAUAGCUGGUCUGAGAGGAUGAUCAGCCACAUUGGGACUGAGACACGGCCCAAACUCCUACGGGAGGCAGCGGUGGGGAAUAUUGGACAAUGGGCGCAAGCUUGAUCCAGCCAUGCCGCGUGAGUGAUGAAGGCCCUAGGGUUGUAAAGCUCUUUCACCGGUGAAGAUAAUGACGGUAACCGGAGAAGAAGCCCCGGCUAACUUCGUGCCAGCCGCCGCCGUAAUAC